GAUGAAGAACGUAGUGAAAUGCGAUAAGUAAUGUGAAUUGCAGAAUUCAGUGAAUCAUCGAAUCUUUGAACGCACCUUGCACCCUUUGGCAUUCUGAAGGGUAUGCUCGUUUGAGUGUCAUUGUACUCUCACACUCCCGAUCUUUGCAUUGGGAGCAGUGGACUUGGGUUUGUUGCUUCACCGUCGCUUACCUCAAAUAGGUUAGUGCAACUCUUGGUUGGACAUAGUACGGCGUGAUAAGUGUUCUUCGCCGGUGCCUCGCAAAGAGGGUGGCCGAUCGGGAUGUUGUGCUCCAAACCGUCUUCGGACAAUCUCUGACGACUUGACCUCAAAUCGAGUAAGACUACCCGCUGAACUUAAGCAUAUCAAUAAGCGGAGGA
rnacentral:misc_RNA from 1 species